UAACGAGUACGUGUUGCUAAGUGCACUA
rnacentral:sRNA from 1 species